rnacentral:ncRNA from 2 species
AUGUUAUCAAGAAAGGUGGAGGGAUUAGACCCUACGAAACCUUAGCAACCCUUUAUUCUAUAUAAAGAAGGUGCUACAUUCUACAACGGUAUUGUACCGGAGAUAGAUAACGA